rnacentral:lncRNA from 1 species
UUGAUUGAAGUCCUGAGUUGUAGAAUCUGUUGUUACAAUGUCUCAAAGGUUAUUAAUAACAAAAUGGGUUGAUUAUAGUCUGAAAAGUCCAUCAUGAAUAAAGGCAACAGUAGUAUACCACUGUUCGAAAUUCAUAAAUCGAUUGAGGAAAAAACAAAUCCGGGUUUCAAACUAAAUUUGAGAGAAACACAUCAAAAAUAAGAGGAGAACAAAGACACAACACGUACAUGCAAC